GCAUGUGGUUUAAUUCGAAGCAACGCGAAGAACCUUACCAGGCCUUGACAUGCAGAGAACUUUCCAGAGAUGGAUUGGUGCCUUCGGGAACUCUGACACAGGUGCUGCAUGGCUGUCGUCAGCUCGUGUCGUGAGAUGUUGGGUUAAGUCCCGUAACGAGCGCAACCCUUGUCCUUAGUUACCAGCACGUUAUGGUGGGCACUCUAAGGAGACUGCCGGUGACAAACCGGAGGAAGGUGGGGAUGGCGUCAAGUCAUCAUGGCCCUUACGUCCAGGGCUACACACGUGUUUCAAUGGCCGGUACAAUGAGUUGCGACCCUGCAAAGGUAAGCCAAUCUCAAAAAACCGGUCUCAGUUCGGAUUGCAGUCUGCAACUCGACUGCAUGAAGUGGGAAUCGCUAGUAAUCGUA
rnacentral:rRNA from 1 species